rnacentral:tRNA from 1 species
GGACUCGUAGCUCAGUGGUAGAGCAUUCGGCUUACAUCCGAAAGGUCGAGGGUUCGAAACCUUCCGAGUCCA